CUGAAAUUGAACUUGAACUUGAAGAAUGCGACACAGAUAAACUCAUUGAUUUGUAAAAUUUGUAAAGUUUUCAGAUCAAUUUCGGACCAAGAUAUCAUGCCAAAAGAAUACGUCAAUAUUAUCAUGUAUUGCAUCGAACUGCUGCUGCUAAGUUAACAAACCUCAUGACACUUGCCGGUGAUAAUAAACUUGAUUCUGAUUCUGAUUCAUUCUUCUAAACUCCAGUGAGUACAGGCCCAGAGCCAUCAAAUGCUUCUGAUACAGUAACCCUUUCAUUCCCAGAAUAAUUCUCGUGAGCCUCCUCUGAACCCUCUCCAAUGCCAGCAC